rnacentral:rRNA from 1 species
GACGAACGCUGGCGACGCGCUUAACACAUGCAAGUCGAACGGAAAGGCCUGCUUUCCCUUGUGGAUUGCGGGUACUCGAGUGGCGAACGGGUGAGUAACACGUGAGUGAUCUGCCCCCAACUUGGGUAUAAGCCUGGGAAACUGGGUCUAAUUCCCGAUAGGACUGCAGGGUGGUGCCUGUGGUGGAAAACGAUUUUCUAGUGGUUGGGGAUGAGCUCGCGGCCUAUCAGCUUGUUGGUGGGGUAAUGGCCUACCAAGGCGGCGACGGGUAGCCGGCCUGAGAGGGUGGACGGCCACAUUGGGACUGAGAUACGGCCCAGACUCCGACGGGAGGCAGCAGUGGGGAAUAUUGCACAAUGGGCGGAAGCCUGAUGCAGCGACGCCGCGUGGGGGAUGACGGCCUUCGGGUUGUAAACUCCUUUCGACCGCGAGGAAGCCACCUGGUUGGAAGGGUGGUGACGGUAGUGGUAGAAGAAGCACCGGCUAACUACGUG